rnacentral:rRNA from 1 species
GAUGAACGCUGGCGGCGUGCCUAACACAUGCAAGUCGAGCGAACCCUUCGGGGUGAGCGGCGGACGGGUGAGUAACGCGUGGGUAACCUGCCCUAUACACACGGAUAACGUACCGAAAGGUACGCUAAUACGGGAUAAAGUUGUUGGAUGGCAUCUUCUAACAAUCAAAGCUCCGGCGGUAUAGGAUGGACCCGCGUCUGAUUAGCUAGUUGGUGAGGUAAUGGCUCACCAAGGCGGCGAUCAGUAGCCGACCUGAGAGGGUGAUCGGCCACACUGGAACUGAGACACGGUCCAGACUCCUACGGGAGGCAGCAGUGGGGAAUAUUGCACAAUGGGCGAAAGCCUGAUGCAGCAACGCCGCGUGAGCGAUGAAGGUCUUCGGAUCGUAAAGCUCUGUCCUCAAGGAAGAUAAUGACGGUACUUUCAGAAGAAGCCCCGGCUAACUACGUGCCAGCCGCCGCGGUAA